UACGUAGGGUGCAAGCGUUGUCCGGAAUUAUUGGGCGUAAAGAGCUCGUAGGCGGUUUGUCGCGUCUGCUGGGAAAACUGGAGGCUCAACCUCCAGCCUGCAGUGGGUACGGGCAAACUAGAGUGCGGUAGGGGAGAUUGGAAUUCCUGGUGUAGCGGUGGAAUGCGCAGAUAUCAGGAGGAACACCGAUGGCGAAGGCAGGUCUCUGGGCCGUUACUGACGCUGAGGAGCGAAAGCAUGGGGAGCGAACAGG
rnacentral:rRNA from 1 species